ACACUCCUACGGGAGGCAGCAGUGGGGAAUAUUGGACAAUGGGCGCAAGCCUGAUCCAGCCAUGCCGCGUGAGUGAUGAAGGCCCUAGGGUUGUAAAGCUCUUUCACCGGUGAAGAUAAUGACGGUAACCGGAGAAGAAGCCCCGGCUAACUUCGUGCCAGCAGCCGCGGUAAUACGAAGGGGGCUAGCGUUGUUCGGAUUUACUGGGCGUAAAGCGCACGUAGGCGGACUAUUAAGUCAGGGGUGAAAUCCCGGGGCUCAACCCCGGAACUGCCUUUGAUACUGGUAGUCUUGAGUUCGAGAGAGGUGAGUGGAAUUCCGAGUGGAGAGGUGAAAUUCGUAGAUAUUCGGAGGAACACCAGUGGCGAAGGCGGCUCACUGGCUCGAUACUGACGCUGAGGUGCGAAAGCGUGGGGAGCAAACAGGAUUAGAAACCCUGGUAGUCCC
rnacentral:rRNA from 1 species